rnacentral:lncRNA from 1 species
CGUCAGUGACCCUACUCUAUUUCAUUUUCGGACGCGCAUACGAAGUUCGGAUCCAUAGACAAUUUUCGUGAACGAAUGAAAUCUAUAAUAUGGUGUGGGGCUUUUAUGAUGUCGACUAAACUAAGUUACGGUUUUUACUUUAACUUGAAAUUAUUAAACUUUUUAGCUUCACUUAUUCAUGUAACAUUAUAAAUGUGAUUUAUAACAUAUUUCUUGUAAUAUUCAUGCAUAAAAUAUAAACUUUUAGAUAAAAAAUAUAUUUUCAACUACAUUCCUCUCGACACUAUAAAAAACCCUUUCAUUGUCAUUGCUAACCGACUAAUUUGAAGAGUACUAUUUCAUGCCUAAAAUGGGUAAUCACGUAUGACAACCAAAAAUAGCGGCUUAUUACAAUCUUAUCAAAACAUGUCAACUUACGAUUCUUUGUUUGAAUACUUUGAAAAGUUUUCUGAAGUGUGUUUCUAAAGUGUCGUAUUAAAUAAAUCAUGUUUCCAAGUGCUUUUAUACCAAGGUACGCAUUCCUUGAGGAAGUAUUAUGUCGUACUUUACUACAGUCCGACUUCUACGUACGUCUGCUGUAUUUUGGUUCGCAACAAGUUUUGUUUUGGAUUUAAAAACUUCUUUAAAAUGACUACAAAUACGGGUUCGGCAACGCCUGAAUAAAUCGAAAGCCUUCUCAAUUUCCUGGACGAACAUAGAGAUUUAGCUCGCGGGAGAUUGAAUAGUUGAACCCAGCCAGGAAGAUGGGCAGCUGUUACAACCUGGGAGUCCAGCUGUAACAGCUGCCUAUGUACCACUAUUGUUGACACAAGAAUGCCUGACUUUCACACCUUCCUCUCGACAUAUACACUCUACAAGGAGACGAUCUGCCAGCACAGGUGUAAGAAGAAGAUUGUAUCAAUAUGAAGAGGAGCGUCCACAGAGAGAGAGAGAGACGUGAAAAACGCAGAGCUUGCAGUCAUCAUGGAGCGAAUUGGCAGGCAUCAGUGCUAUCCUGUUGCAGCUGCAUAACACAAUAAAGGAAUAUGUGGAUAGCAAUUACGAUUUUGUUAGUUAUUAAUUGUGUUUAGUAUUUUUUUGUUAUUAAUUUGUUA